rnacentral:rRNA from 1 species
UACGUAGGGGCAAGCGUUGUCCGGAUUUAUUGGGCGUAAAGAGCGUGUAGGCGGCCAGGUAGGUCAGCUGUGAAACUCGAGGCUCAACCUCGAGAUGUCGGCUGAAACCAUCUGGCUAGAGUCCGGAAGAGGAGAAUGGAAUUCCCGGUGUAGCGGUGAAAUGCGCAGAUAUCGGGAAGAACACCCGUGGCGAAGGCGGUUCUCUGGGACGGUACUGACGCUGAGACGCGAAAGCGUGGGAGCGAACAGG